rnacentral:rRNA from 1 species
GCGGAGGAAAAGAAACCAACUGGGAUUACCUUAGUAACGGCGAGUGAAGCGGUAAAAGCUCAAAUUUGAAAUCUGGUACUUUCAGUGCCCGAGUUGUAAUUUGUAGAAUUUGUCUUUGAUUAGGUCCUUGUCUAUGUUCCUUGGAACAGGACGUCAUAGAGGGUGAGAAUCCCGUUUGGCGAGGAUACCUUUUCUCUGUAAGACUUUUUCGAAGAGUCGAGUUGUUUGGGAAUGCAGCUCAAAGUGGGUGGUAAAUUCCAUCUAAAGCUAAAUAUUGGCGAGAGACCGAUAGCGAACAAGUACAGUGAUGGAAAGAUGAAAAGAACUUUGAAAAGAGAGUGAAAAAGUACGUGAAAUUGUUGAAAGGGAAGGGCAUUUGAUCAGACAUGGUGUUUUUUGCAUGCACUCCCCUCUCGUGGGCUUGGGCCUCUCAAAAAUUUCACUGGGCCACCAUCAAUUCUGGCAGCAGGAUAAAUCAUUAAAAAGGUAGCUCCUUCGGUAGUGUUUUACCUUUUUGAAAUACUGUAGCCCGGGAU